rnacentral:rRNA from 1 species
CGUCUCAAGACUAGCCAUGCACGUCUAAGUACAAACUAAAUGAUGGUGAGACUGCAAAUGGCUCAUUACAACGGUUAUGAUGUACCCGGGAGUUCCGAUGGAUAUUUCCAGUAACACUAGAACUAAUACAUGUCCCUGCGUUUAUUAGUUUCGCACAGUCCGUCGCUGAGUCAUGGUAAACAGUUGAUCGACUCGACGUCCCGGAACAGUUUCCGCCCCAUCAGCUUCGAUGGUUGGGUAUUGGCCUACCAUUGCAACAACGGGUAACGAGGAAUUAGGGUUUGAUUUCGGAGAGGGAGCCUGAGAAACGGCUACCACAUCUACGGAUGGCAGCAGGCGCGCAAAUUACCCAAUGCAGACACUGUGAGGUAGUGACGAGAAAUAAUAAAGCGGGACUUCUGUUUCGCUAUUAUAAUGAGGAAUAACCAAAGGUCAUUCCGAUUAGCAACUGAUGGGAAAGUCUGGUGCCAGCAGCCGCGGUAAUACCAGCGUCAGUAGCA